rnacentral:misc_RNA from 1 species
UCUCCGUUGGUGAACCAGCGGAGGGAUCAUUACUGAGUUACCGCUCUACAACCCUUUGUGAACAUACCUAACUGUUGCUUCGGCGGGCAGAGGUCCCUCGCGGAUCUCUCCCGGCAACGCCCUCACGGGCGGAGCGCCCGCCGGAGGAUACCAAACUCUAUUUUAACGACGUUUCUUCUGAGUGACACAAGCAAAUAAUUAAAACUUUUAACAACGGAUCUCUUGGUUCUG